AAAGAAAAUAAUUCUUAAUUGCAAUUUCCAAAAUAAGAAUCUUGUCUUGGUUUUUGUGAUACAAUGGCAUUUCAUUUUUGCUAUGAUAUAAUGACAUGUUAUUGUGAACAUCUAUUUAGUUCAAGAUACAACGGCGCCGACCUUUACCUAUUGUCCGAAUGACAUCGGUGAUUUUCCGACCUCGACCACAUCGAGAUUUGUAUCUUGGGAGAUUCCGACGGUAACAGAUGACCUCGAUACUUCGGUUACCGUCGGAGUAUCGGGCGGUUCGUCCGGAUCACUAUUUUCAGAAGGAAAUCACACUAUCGUAUAUACAGCCACUGAUGAAUCGGGAAAUACGGCAGAAUGUAUCGUUACCUUUACUAUAAGCGUUCUGCGAUGCCCACUUCUAACUCCUCCUAACAACGGUAGAAUUAAAGGGACUUGCUCGAGACUCAAGGAUUCUAGAUGUGAUUUUGAGUGCGAUCAAGGUUUCAAUCUUACCCACAAUGCCCCACUUUGUAUUGUCAUGAAUUCAGAUGCAUCAUGGGAUGGACCUGUUCCUUCAUGU